GGGAACGGACGAGAGGCGGCGUCAGUCGGACACAGCCGCGCCGGAGCCGUUCACAGUGAUACACUGAUAGGAAGAGUGAGGGAGAGAAAGAGAAUCAGAUAGUGAGGGAGAGAGAGAAUUAGAUGGGGUUUGUGAAUUUCAUAUAAUUAACAAGGAUAUAAUAGUCAUUACAUAUAAAUAAUUGGGUCUUUGCGUUGCUUAUCAAACAAUUGUUGAAUUUAUUGGUCCUCUAUACUGUGGACUAUCAAACACAUGUCCACGCAACAAAGCAGGCCCAACUCUUGUUCCAUUUGCUUGAGUUUAUUAAUCUGUACAAAACUUGAGCAACUUAUCAAACAUGGCCU
rnacentral:lncRNA from 1 species